rnacentral:RNase_P_RNA from 1 species
GGAGCGGGCUGGAUGGCCGCUGCGCGGCGUCGUCCGCCGGCUUCCGCGGUCCUGGUUUCGACUAGGCGUGCGGCGGCGGCGGGGAGCGGCGCCGUGUGGAGGAAAGUCCGGACACCGCAGGACAGGAUGCUUGCCAACAGCAAGGCGGGGCGAUCCGACGGAAAGUGCAACAGAAAACACACCGCCGAUGGAACGCGGGCUCCGCGGAGUCCGUCUUCACAGGCAAGGGUGAAAUGGUGCGGUAAGAGCGCACCGGCGUCGUGGCGACACGGCGGCCUGGAAAACCCCAUCCGGUGCAAGGCCAAAUAGGGGCCGAGGCGUGGUCCGCGCCGUUAGGAGGCCCGGGUAGGCUGCUCGAGGCGCAUGGCGACAUGUGUCCCAGAUGAAUGACCAUCCCCGACAGAAUCCGGCUUACAGGCCCGCUCCAUAU